GAGGUUAAGCGACUAAGCGUACACGGUGGAUGCCCUGGCAGUCAGAGGCGAUGAAGGGCGUGCUAAUCUGCGAUAAGCGCCGGUAAGGUGAUAUGAACCGUUAUAACCGGCGAUACCCGAAUGGGGAAACCCAGUGUGACUCGUCACACUAUCAUUAACUGAAUCCAUAGGUUAAUGAGGCGAACCGGGGGAACUGAAACAUCUAAGUACCCCGAGGAAAAGAAAUCAACCGAGAUUCCCCCAGUAGCGGCGAGCGAACGGGGAGGAGCCCAGAGCCUGAAUCAGCAUGUGUGUUAGUGGAAGCGUCUGGAAAGGCGCGCGAUACAGGGUGACAGCCCCGUACACAAAAGCGCAUGUGCUGUGAGCUCGAUGAGUAGGGCGGGACACGUGGUAUCCUGUCUGAAUAUGGGGGGACCAUCCUCCAAGGCUAAAUACUCCUGACUGACCGAUAGUGAACCAGUACCGUGAGGGAAAGGCGAAAAGAACCCCGGCGAGGGGAGUGAAAAAGAACCUGAAACCGUGUACGUAC
rnacentral:rRNA from 2 species